GACGAACCGUCCAAACGUUAUUCGGAAUUACUGGGCUUAAAGGGUGCGUAGGCGGUGCGGAAAGUUGGGUGUGAAAUCCCUCGGCUCAACCGAGGAACUGCGCCCAAAACUACUGUGCUCGAGGAAGACAGAGGUAAGCGGAACUUCGGGUGGAGCGGUGAAAUGCGUUGAUAUCCGAAGGAACACCGGUGGCGAAAGCGGCUUACUGGGUCUUUUCUGACGCUGAGGCACGAAAGCUAGGGUAGCGAACGGG
rnacentral:rRNA from 1 species